CCACGGGAGGAUAUCCCGAGCAGGUCUCAAAUCAAGAGAAGCAUAGCAUAUGAUAGAGAUGAGAUAGAGUGGCCUGGCUCGACUCUCAUGUUUGUCCAUCCAUGAUCAACAGGCGAUUAUCCCAGGGCAUGAGGACGAGGAGAUCUAGAAGCUUUCAGAGUUAGGAGGAGGUCGAAUAUCGAGUCGAGGUAUAGAUUAUUAGAAUUUGAUGCUUUGAGAUUCGAUCCAC
rnacentral:lncRNA from 1 species